rnacentral:lncRNA from 1 species
UUUUUUUUUUUUUAAUUUUUUGGGAAUUUGUAUAGGUCAAUAUUGAUAUACAUAUAUAGAGAGAAGUGGAAAUGGCAUAUAAGGUGGAUCAUGAAUAUGAUUAUUUAUUCAAAAUUGUUUUAAUUGGAGAUUCUGGUGUUGGAAAAUCUAACAUACUUUCUAGGUUUACUCGAAAUGAAUUUUGUUUGGAAUCUAAAUCUACUAUUGGUGUUGAAUUUGCAACAAGGACCCUUCAGGUAAUUAUUCAUAAUUUUUUUAGUUUUCAUCGAUGUUCGAUAUCUGUUAAUUUAAAAUUUGACUAGUUCGAAUAUGAGCCAAAAAUUUGAAUUUUUAAGGGUGAAGCGCUUUCUACGUCUCAAUUUUAUGAAAGUAAUUAAACUUUGACAACUUGAGAAGAGACAAGGAUAAUAGUUACAUUUUCUUUCGUCUCAAUUUAUGUCGCGAUAUAAUUGGAUUAGAUAUGUAGUUUGAGGGGGGGAAAUUUAUGAUAUAAAAUAAGUCAGAUAUUUUGUGAUUAUGAAUCAUCAAUAAAGUAAGAAAAGUAUGAUACUUAAAUUAAAAUCAAAUAAAACAGUAAUGUCGGCAUAUCCUCUUUGCAAUGAUGUGACACAUUAGAAAAUGUUGUUAAUUACAUUUCUUUUUCAUUUGCCUUGCAUUUAGCAAUUAUGUACCUUUAUUUUGACUUUUCAUAGCGAAAAUUCUGACUCCAAUAUUGAUAUGUAUGUCUCUCGAUCGCUGUAUAUAAUUUGAUUGUAUUUUCUAUAGUGAAAGAUCCUAACUCCGGUAUUUAUAUGGAUGUCUAUAUAUGAUUUGGUUGCAUUUCAUAUAGUAAAAAUCCUGAUUUCGAUACUGAACUUUAUGUCCAUAUAUGCUUUGGUUGCAUUUUCAGUAGUGAGAAUCCUAACUCAAACAUUGAUAUGUAUGUCUAGAUAUGCUUUGGUUGCGUUUCAUAUAGUGAAAAUUCUGACUUCAACACUAAUAUGUAUGUCUAUAUAUGCUUUGAUUACAUUUCAUAUAGUGAAAAUCCUGACUUCAACACUAUAUGCUUUGGUUGUGUUUCAUAUAGUGAAAAUCCCGACUCCAUCACUGAUCUUUAUGUCUAUUAUAUAUGCUUCAAUUGCGUUUUCUAUAGUGAAAAUCUUGACUCUGAUACUAAUCUUUAUGUCUAUAUAUAUAUGCUUCACUUGUGUUUUCCAUAAUGAAAAUUCCGACUCCGACACUAUUUUUCAUGUUUAUAAAUGCUUUGGUUGCGUUUCAUAUAGGAAAACUCCUGACUCCGACACUACUUUUUAUGUCUAUAUAUAUGCUUCGAUUGCGUAUUCUAUAGUGAAAAUCCUGACUUCAUCACUGAUCUUUAUGUCUAUAUAUGCUUUGGCUGUGUUUCAUAUAGUAAAAAUUCUGACUCCAUCACCGAUCUUCAUGUCUAUAUAUGCUUUGGUUGCAUUUUCUAUGGUGAAAAUCCCGACUCCAACACUAAUCUUUAUGUCUAUAUAUAUGCUUCACUUGUGUUUUCUGUAGUGAAAAUUCCGACCCCGACACUAUUUUUCAUGUCUAUAAAUGCUUUGGUUGCCGUUUCAUAUAGGAAAGAUCAUGACUCCAACACAACUUUUUAUGUCUAUAUAUAUGCUUCGAUUACGUUCUAGAAAAUCUUGACUCCAACACUGAUACGUAUAUGCUUUGGAUGUAUGGUGUAGGUAGAAGGCAAGACAGUUAAGGCACAAAUAUGGGACACUGCAGGUCAAGAAAGGUACAGAGCCAUUACAAGUGCUUACUACAGAGGAGCUGUUGGUGCCCUUUUAGUUUACGACAUAACCAAAAGACAAACGUUUGAGAACGUAACGCGUUGGCUCCGCGAGCUACGUGACCAUGCAGACUCUAAUAUUGUCAUAAUGUUGGCUGGUAAUAAGUCGGAUUUGAACCAUCUCAGAUCAAUCCCCGAGCUAGAUGCUCGGGGAUUGGCUGAGAAAGAAGGGCUCUCAUUCCUCGAGACGUCUGCUCUCGAGGCAUAUAACGUUGAGAAAGCGUUCCAAACGAUUUUAUUGGACAUAUAUGAAAUUGUAAGUAGGAAAGCUUUGGCUGCUCAAGAAGCAGCAGCUGCUAUUCCUGGACAAGGCACUGCUAUUAAUGUUGGAGAGUAUGUUGGUAAUAAUAAUAAGAGACCAUGUUGUUCUAAUUAAGUGAAAAAAAAAGUUGAAAUUUUAGCCAAUAACCGAUUCAAACCGAACCACAAACACUUGUAGGGUUGAAAAUGACGUACUAAUACUUUUUUUUUGGUUACUUUGAUGAAAGAAGUAUGAUUUUGUAUAGUAUGGAAUUACUUACACAUAGUUCUUUUUUUCUUACUAAAUGGUCAAAAUACAUACCUAUUGUUUUUACGAGUUUCAGAUCUGAACUAUCAUGUGUUUGUGUUUCCUAUUUGAACUAUCGAUAACUAUUUGUGAAAACACACCUCGAAGCUGACUAGACCAAGUGUUAAUUGCAUACAAUCGCCAAAAAGUGUGUGACAUCUUAAUUUGUCCAUAAAAUUCCGUCCACGUGGCAGAUGACUCGUUAAUUUCGAGGCGUGUUUUGAUAAAUAGUUGGUGAUGGUUCAAAUCGAUAAUACAAACACUUGAUAGUUAAGGUAGAAAACUUGCGAAAAAAGUGAUACUUCAGGUGAGAAAAAGAGGUUUUUAUCGUUUUGUCAGGAAAUAAAGGAUUAAGUUGGUGUUCAAUGUGUAGCCUAGGCUUAACAAGCUUACAUAGGAUAUAAGAUCGAAAAGAAUGCAUUGAAUAGAUGCUCAAUCAUUGAGAAGGAAGGACGCUUUCAGAGGCGAAAAGGCAAUGAGGAGAUCAAAUAAUGUAUUCACAAUAUUUGCAUGAAGAAGGGAAUGUUCCUGGGAUCAUUCAAAUAUCUGAUCUUUAUUGCCUUUAAACUGAUAAGAGUCUCCAAUACAAGAUAGAAUUUUCUAUAUAUUUCAUUUUAAUUGCAAAAUAUGUAGACUUAUUUGUAAGAUUCAAGUUGUAUUCCAUCAGUAUCUCCGGUAGGACCCCGGAAAAAAUAGGGGUAGCUAAACCAGCUCUGCAUGAUCAACUCAUUUUCCUCAUCGAUGACUUCUAACUUGGCACACAGGAGAGGAAAUCAUCUACGAGCAUACGAGGUCAAAGAGGUCACAACGAACAUAUCAUAAAGGAAAAUUUCCUGUCAAGCGAAUGUGAUCCAAUGUACUCCGUAAACCAUACUUAUUCACGGCUGCAUAAGCAGCUCUAAAUCCUCCACCGUAUGCUGGAGAAGCAUCAUGGGCAAUCUGGUGCAUGAAAAACUCACCGAGCUUACUCUCUGCUUGAGAUGUUCCUCCUUUCUUCGAUGAUGACCAUGUAGACGAUGACGAAGCAGUUGAUGUAGAUGGCAUAUUUCUUGAUCCAGGCACUACCUCUGAUUCAAGCCACAUGUGGGAAAGCACUUGGCAGAUUCCUUCUUCUACUUCAGGGGUGAGAUUACGAUAUCCUGCAAAUUACAAAAGUAUAAUCUUAACAAGAAUUCGUUUACUUAGAUUACCGUAGCAUUUUGCUUUGUUAUGCUUUCACUUCUGUUACUUCUUUUUGUAGACUACUUUGGAUUGUUUUUCCUUGAUCCAAGGGUUUAUCGGAAACAACCUCUAUCUCUAAGGUAGGACUUAGGAGUAGGGUCUGCAUAUACUCUACCAUCUCCAGACCCCAUUUUGUGUGACUACAUGGGUACAUUGUUGUAUAAUCCUAACAAGAACGUAGGUUGAUCAAGCACAACGAAGUUCUGGUGAUGAAACAUCCAGAUAUCUUUCUUUUCUUGAAGAUUGUUCAUGUUCUUAAAGUUCGGUCCAGACUGACAAAGUUGAAAGGAAGUAUCGAAUUUUACCUUUUAGACGUAACCAGGCAUGCAUCAGUUCAUGAGCUAGAAUGGCACCAGUAAGUAAUCUGCAUAUAGAAAAGAUUUGGUAAGCCAAUUUUGUCAUACAGUAUUAUUGUCACAAAAAAAGUCCCGGGAAUAGACAAAGAACAGUACUCCCUCCGUUUUAGUUUGUUUGCCUUACUUUUCUUUUUAGUCCGUUUCAAACAGAAUGUCUCUUUCCUUCUUUUUUUUCACAUGGCAUGUUUAAGACCACAAGAUUAAAAGGGCAAUUUGGUACAUUCUACGUAUCUUUAUUUAAGACCACAAGAAUCAAAAGUCUCCUAUACUUGCUUAAAUUCCCUGUCAAGUCAAAACUAGACAAACAAAUUGAAACAGAGAGAGUACUAAUGUUUCAUUCUUACUAACAUGUAGAUUGACUUUAGUCUCUCUCUGUUUCAAAGUCUAAGAAUAAUAUAAUAGUGUGGCUUCAUGCCAAAGCACAUCUUACUUUCUUUCACUUGAAAUAUAAGAUCAACCAUAGUUUCCUCUGCUUCAAAAUAUCUAAAAGAAUAAUGAUUGGGUGACGUGUUACGAAAAGCUUAGUUUUUUUUCAACAACUAGGCCCUAUUCCCAAGCUAGUUGGGGUCUACUAAAUGGAUCCUCACUGUCCAUGUCACUCCAUUUAAAUCCAUCUCAAUCCAAUAUUUAAAAACUUUAGGUUAUCUAGCUAGCACUGGAAGUUCUUUAUAUUUUCCACCGCCAUAUCUCUUACAAGACCAAAAGACUCCUAAUGAGCACUGAACCUAAAGUAAACAGACCAGCAAUAAUAAAAUUAAGUACCAAGCAAUUGGUAUAAGCCUAUAUGGAUCUUUUUCCUCGUCUUCUUCUUGUCCUUUUCUUUUUCUCAGCGAGCGUGGAGCACCACAUGCCACAUUGGUUUUCAUUUUCACCAUGAGGCUAAAUGAAACUCAAAGGAAGGAAUGAAAAUAAGGAGGUUACCUUGGAAGGCCGUAUAUUACUAGGAUAGCUGUAACUUCACAUCUUCUAAUUAGCUUUUGAGGAUGUGUUCUGAUUCCUAUUAAUCCACGACCACCUAUUUUUGGCCUUCUGAGUAUCUGCAUUGUUAAAAAAAUUGUCAUGGCACCUAUCACAUGUUUCACUAGAAGAACGGGAAGACGUGUUUAAGCGAGUCUAACAUGGAAAAAUUUUCUCAUGACUGAAGAUCUUACACUGGUGACUGUCUGCUCUUCUGAUAGGCAUAGACCUCUGGUUUCAGGCAUAUGAUGGAGACCCUAAAAGAGUUCUUGAGUUAGUAAUCUUCCGAGAGUAAAGGACAGAAAAAAUAUAGGCAGAGAUCAUUCAUACAUGUUUCUCCCCUUCAAUGGCCUCAUUAAGGGCAUGUCUUUCAACAAGAAGCAUAGGAACUUGCUGAUCUAUUUUCAUGUUCAUGCCUUCAUAAUAGUCUCUGAUGGAAUGGUAAAGUGGCUGGCAGUCCCCGGUAUCCAUGAUUGCAGAUUCCAUGCACUCUAAGCAUAAGCUCCGACCAUCUCCAAGUGACAUAUAUCUUGCAUUCCGUGACUUCAAGAAGAUAAAAACAAUAAACGAGAAUGUGAGUUGAAUGAGAGGUGUGAUCCAACAUGUUUACUGUCAACUGACAUCCGUACCUCCAGACGUUCACAACUACAGCACCGUUUGGUAUUGUCAUUCUCAUGUGCAGGGCAAUAUUUUUGAGACCAAAAUGGAUGGCAUCUGUACUCGAUCAAGCCAGCUCCGUUUGUUGGGAUCUGCAAUGUGAAUGGUAGGUCAUAACAAGAGGGAUGUGAAAGAUAUUACAGGGGCUUAAAUACACAAAAUGGCCUCACAAUAGAACUAUGAACCGUAACUUGGAGUUCUAUUAAUUAACUUCCAGUAAGAAAAAGUCAUAUACAGAAGCAGUAUGUCCUUACAAAUUGAUGGCAGACUUCACAUUUUGGAUGAGUCAUUUCCUUGAAGCAUGACUUAUGAUAUGUAUUGUUCCCUGACAAAGAAAACUUGAAUCAACGUAACCAAUGAGCUAACAUGUCAAAAUAUUCGAAAAUAUUCAUUUUGUAUGAAAAUAACAGUCCAUUGGUAUUAUUUUUUAGUUUCAUAUUUGGCAAAGGGUUGAGUGUUGGGAAAAUGAGAGCAACAGCAAGGACAAGAAUGUACCUCGUAUUCAGUAAUUGGGACACCACAAGCACGACAAAGAAAACAUUCUGGAUGAAAGAAAGUUCCCAUGCAUCCCAAAUAAUUGCCAGAGACGAUAUCCUUAUUGCAGCCACUACAUUUUCUGCGAAUAUUUUUAUGUGCACAUAAGUUCUCUCUUACUCUGACAAACAGCAAUCUGGCAUAGUUUUCAUCAUCAAGAAAAGUGCAUACACGCACGCAAACACACAAACACACACUUCACUAAUGUUCUGCUCAACCAGUUUGUUUGUUUGUUCUUUUUUUGUUGUUGACAAGGGAACUUGCAGCCACUACCCUCCGGGUGCGCACAAUUCUACUCAACCUGUUUGUAGCCUAGACAUUUGACUUUACAAGCAGUAAUUUACCACCAAAAAUCAGGCCAUGGUUCUUUCAAGACCUCAAAUUAAGGAAGUGUAUAUGUGUGUGUGUGUGUAUAUUAAACGCAUACAUCUGUUCAGUGUCUUAAAUGUGUUUUUUAUUUUUUUGCAAUUGGAAUAGAAUAAAGCUCAAAAUUUGAAUUUUUGUUUGUUUACACCAACAUUCAAGGAGCACAUAAUCUAUCAUAUUUAGGAUGCCGCAUGUUACAGUCUCAUCUUCAAGCAAACAUUGAUCAAUAUUUGGUCUCUUCGAAUUAACCUAGACACAUAAAAUGAAUGAGGACACAUCUAAAACAUCAAUGCAUUAGUUUUCCUAACUUUCAAAGCAAACAUAUUCACAACAAAUAAGUAGCAACAACAUAUAUUUUUGUUUCUUUUAUUCCUUCAGCAUUACAACAGAUACCAGAGGUACUAAGCCUGCCAUGAGAGCGAUGCAUUAAAGAGAUCACAACGUGAAUUGCUAGAACUAUUUAUAUUUCAGCUGAGACAAUGUAUAAUAAUUGAUAUCUCAACAAUCUUGGAAACACAAGACUAAUACCUGUAACUAUUGGGAUUAUAUUCCCAAGGAGCAUAUGAAGGAGCAUACUUAGGAGGAUAUGAGGAUGAAUUCGAGUUAUCUUGAAGCGAUCUUGCUAGAUCUUCAUCUUGGUCAGUCCUCCAUCUGUAUCCUGAGAAACAUAAACCUUUCAUUUCCUCCUCAAAAGAGUGAAAAUCAACGUUUUUGGAAAUGGUAAUGCUAAAUGCAAGAGUAACUUCACUAUUCUUGAACAUUUCAUGAAUGCAAAUAUAAUUACCUUUUGGUCUUUUCAAAUCUUCAGCAAGAGAGAGUGCAAUUGCACGGUCUAGUUCCUCUUUCUCCUUAUUGGUCCUAGAGUUAUCAUCCUGAUGAAAUUUUAAAUGUGUUGAGAGGAUCAUUCAAUCGAAGGAGAUAAGUUUGAUUGGAAGGAAUAUGACUAAGUUAAUUUUAGAAGAGAAAAAAGUAGCCAUGAAUUAUUUGAUGAUAGUUUAUGGAAAGCAAAUGGCCUAACUUGAGUAAUCAGUAGAAGAAUUCAAGCAUCAACUUCUGAAGGCAACCAAAUAUUCCUGCCCUAGUGCCCUUAGAACAAGUAGUACAGCUGAAACAUCGAAGAGCUUCUCUUUAAAUUAUAGUUGGCAAUAGUUCUUGAAGAACCUUAACAAUAUGGCUUAAAGUUGACGACUUUUUGGCAUAAAUUUAGGAGGAUGUUAAUUUAUAAAAUGAUCAGCUUUGCAUGUCACAUGUGAUGUGGAUUAAUGUUCGAGUGACUAGAAUGGCAGAUUGAAGACACGGAGAGACUAAGGGGGCAUUAGGCAUGAAUUCGAGUCCAUAUACUGUUUCACAUUUCAGGAUAUAUGGAAUCCUAUUCAGAAGGGCAUAAAUGAAGCUUCUUGAAGAGACCAAGGGGGCAUUAGGCAUGAUUUUUUUUCUUUUUCCUGGAUUUGAACUCUGGAUCCAAACACGUUUGACCAUAAAAUUCCGGAAUUCAACUUAUUUCGGAUUUUUCAGGAAUUUGGAAAACACCAAAAAAGUUGUUUUCACUUUUUUCACUCGAAAUUACUCACAGAAGUUCAAAAACAAUUCCAAUUUGUAUUCAUGGUCAAACACAACCAAUUUUCAAAUAUCAUUUUUUCACUUUGAAAGCAAAAACUACUUUUUUUCAAAUAGUCACAUUUUUACGGUCAAACGGCCCUAAAAUCCCUCCCAAAAAAUAAAGAAAGAAAGAGAAACAGAAAAGGAUAGUUGAAACUUCUACUGAUACCCCUGAAGUAAACAGAGUAGCAUUUUAAUAGCAUGUCUAAUGAAGAGCUUAUUCUUUUCCCCAUAAACCAAUUUAGCUAUUGGUUUUGAUCAGAAACAGAACAAACUAAAUCAUUAGAUUUCAAACAGUCCAUCACAAAGAGGUCCACUACUUUUGCGCACCUAUACAUUUUGUCAUAUCGUUAUCAAGAUAAUUAUUAGACGAUAAAGAGGUCUGCCUAUCACAUUUUCCAAAGAUUCACCGGAUUAAAAAAAAAGUUUAAGAUGCCAGUCAUCAUCCACACCAGGAAUACAAAUACAAUAAGCUGCAUUCUUUCCAGCCUCCUAUUUGAGAAAUUUUUCACUUCCUUGGCUUUAUCAUUGAGUAUACAUAAAACAUUUUUAGUCAAAACUAUUAUGAAUGAAGAAUCUUUAUUCUCAAUAAUCCAGCAUCCAAAAUAAGAAUUCUUGUUAGUAAUAGAAAACACCAACUUCUUUCUCCCCUCCCUUUACAGAAAAAAAAUUGAAAAAAAACAAAGACAAACAAGAAAAACUACCUCAAAAAAUUUUACUAAUCUUUUUUGUCCCUAGAAAGCAAAAAUCUUUCCCACAAAAAGUAGCUAUUUUGUUAAAGGCGAAAUCGAAUUUCAAGGAGAUCAUGUGCAUACCAAGCUACAGAAAAUCUAUAAUUCUCAAAAUACACCCUUUGCUCUCCUCUUCUCUCUUUUCUUAUGUUUCCUAUACUAUAAAUAACAUAUAUUGACACUACAGAUAAAAAAGAGACACAUUAAAACAGUUUUCUGUGUUACAAGAACAUUAAAGGGUCUAUCAUAAAUAUCAAAGUAAAAAAUGAUGUAAACAAAAGAGAAAAAAAUCACCAUUGAUCUGGCUGGAGCUCGCCAAACCAUAUUUUCGUCUCCAAGAAACUGUGGUUGCUGUCUCCUAUUACCUGACCCACCACCCUUGAAAAGUUUACUCAGCCAUUUCAUUAAUCUUGACUUUCUCUCAGUAGUUGAAGAAACAAAGUGACCUGCUUAAACCCCACAAAAAAAGCCAACUUUAUUUUCAAACAUAACUAAAACAAGUUUCAUGAAAAAUACUGAAAAGGGUACUCUUUCAAUUACAAAAAGAUACAAUCUUUGAAGUCUUUAAACCCCACAAUAUAUACCAACCAAAAAAAGCCAACUUUUUUUUCACAUAACUAAACCAAGCUUCAUGAAAAAUAUUCAAAGGGGGUACUCUUUCAAUUGCAAAAUGAUUCAAUCUUUGAAGUCCUUAAACUCCACAAUAAAUAUCAACCAAAAAAUAACUAAACCAAGCUUCAUGAAAAAUACUCAAAAGGGUACUCUUUCAAUUACAAAAAGAUUCAAAUCUUUGUAAUCCUUAAGCCCCAUAACAAUAAUCAACCAAAAAAUCCAACCUUUUUUAACAUAACUAAACCAAGCUUCAUGAAAAAUACUCAAAAGGGUACUCUUUCAAUUACAAAAAGAUUCAAUCUUUGUAAUCCUUAAGCCCCAUAACAAAUAAUCAACCAAAAAAUCCAACCUUUUUUAACAUAACUAAACCAAGCUUCAUGAAAAAUACUCAAAAGGGAACUCUUUCAAUUACAAUAAAUAUCAACCAAAAACUCCAACUCUUUUUCACAUAACUAAACCAAGCUUCAUGAAAAAUACUCAAAAGGGUACUCUCUUAAUUGCAAAAAGAUUCAAUCUUUGAAGUCCUCACAACAAAUAUCAACCAAAAAAACAACUAAACCAAGCUUCAUGAAAAAUACUCAAAAGGGUACUCUCUUAAUUACCAAAAGAUUCAAUCUUUGUAAUCCUUAAAGCCCACAACAAAAUACCAACCAAAAAAAUUCAACUUUUUUCACAUAACCAACUCAAGCUUCAUGAAAAAUACUCAAAAAGGGUAUUCUUUCAAUUACAAAAAGACUCUAUCUUUAAAGUCCUUAAAACAUUACCAUAUAUGCAAGGCUGAGAUAUAUGAUUGACACUUGAAGAAGACAUUGAUUAGGAUACUGCGAUAUGUAUAGAAACAGAAGAAAUUUGUUGAGAUUUUUCAAGAUUUGAAAAGGGUGGCUUAAAAAUGAAGAGGACAAAGUAGGAAUGAGAAAGAAGGGUGUAUAGAGAAAAGAAAUGGAACAAUGGCAUCAUGUAUAAAGCCUAAGUUUUUAUGAGAAUCUUGUGUGAGAGAAAGAUUCUUGGCUUGAACAGAAAGAGGAAAUUUGGGAAUCUGCUGAGAAGGAUUGUGAUGGAAAGGUAAACACUGGCAGUGGCAAGCUGCAAUUUUGAACGGCUGACAAAUUGGGGGGUGUGAGUGAAGUUUCAUACAACUAAUUAUACAACACAAAAUUCUCAAAAAAAAAAAAAAAACAUUCUUCAUUGAAUUUUUUUAUUUUUUUUAAAGGUUUGGUUGCAAAGGAGGGAAAAGAAGUUUUAUUGACAAAUGGGACUUCCUUUUCUUACAAAUUACAUCAAGGUCCCAUAAUAUUAUUACUCCCUCCGUCCCAUUUUAUAUGAUGUACUUUGAUUUGGCACAAACUUUAAGAAAAAUGGAAAGACUUUUAAAACUUGUGGUCCAAAAUGAAUGAUAGAAAUUUGUGUGGUUGUAAAUCAUUUCAUUAAGGGUAAAAAAGACAUUUUAUAGGUAAAUUGUUACUUAAAAUAGAAAUGUGUCAUUCUUUUUGGGAUUGACUAAAAAGGAAAGUAAGUCAUAUAAAUUGGGACAGAGGGAGUAUUAUUUUGGUUAAAUAUGGUAAUUUAAUACUUUGGUUCAAGAGAUUAGGUGUGUUAUUCUUGUAUAAAAUUUAGAAUUAAAUUUGUCUUGUGCUUCACUUGUGGAUUUCAUGUUGUUGGAGUUUGGUUGAAGGUAUUACAUAAAAUCGGUAAGCUUUGAAAAUUUUCUAUAUAGAAGGGGAAUAAGUUAAGUUAUAGUCUUGAUUUUUUAUUUUUUUUUUAUGAUUGUGGUGUUCGGGUCAACUUUCUCGCAUUUCGAUUAAUUCUACAAGACUAUGACAGAUGGAAAGAAUUUGAGACCUCAAGGUUCUCAAUCACUUCAUUGACCACUAGGUCACACUCUUGGGUGCAUUAUGUGAUAGAUAUGAGAAUUUGCACAUAUUCAUAUCGGUUAGUUAGUUUUUUUUUAAAAAAAAAAAAAUCCAUUUGAUUUUCCUUUUUUAUAUACUAAUUUCAUUCAUUGUAGACAAUUACAAGUUGUUGAUUUUUCAGUAAUACAAUGAUCUAAGAAAAAAUUAUGUUGUUAGUGAAAACAACAAAUGACUACGAAUUAAAUUUAGAUGGGAAUGACAUAAAAAGUCUUUCAUAAAACCUAGCAUUAGAAAUGUUACCACGCUAUAUAAGAUAUAAAGUUAAAUCUCAUCAAAUUAAUUUAGCCAAAAAAAUUGAAAAUUUUAAAGCUAUGAAACUAGAUUCGGAUACGAAUUUAAAUUAAUGGUCAAACGCACACUUUAAAACUAUCAUUCUUUCACGAGUUUCAUAUCUCAACUAUCAAUUAUCAAUUAUUGUUUUCUCCAUUUGAAUUCACCACCUUCUAUGUAUUAAAACACACCUCAAAGUUGAUCACGCUAAUUAUCAGCUAUUUUCUUUUCAUACCUAAACUAUCACUAUUUACUCAACUAGGUGCCUUUUCAUACACAGAUAUGAUAGGUUCACGUGGAAAAAUGCAUAGAUGGUGAUAGUCUAAAUAGAUAAAGAAAUAGUUGAGGAAAUGAAACUCGUAAAAAACUAAUAAUUCAAAUGUAAUUUUGACCAUUAGCUUUACUGAUUUUGACCAAAAUUAACAAUAAGAUGAGUAUUUUCUUUGAAAAAAUCAUUUGAAAAGGAAGAAACUACUUGACUCUUAAGAUAGUAUAAUUGCAGAAUGAGUUCAUGUAGAAGCAUACGUUUAGGAUCAAAUAUAAACGUAACACUAUGAAAAUGAAUGUGAACUCUAAAAUUAGAAUAUACUAAUGUACAUUAUCUAGAAGACACCCUUCUACAAAUCCUAGUAGGAAGCACUUUUCAUUUUACUGAGAAUUAGUCGGAUCCAAUAUGAGUAUGAAAUAUCAGAAAACAAGCAAAUCUAGUUAUCAUAAUAAAGUGACACCCUUGUAUAAUACAUUAUACAGAAAAGCAUAAAUAGUUUAAAUUUGUUCUCCUUUGACCAAUUGGAUCUUAAUUAUUGCUCUUAGCGUUAAUAUUUUGGUUUAAAAUAACUCCCUUUCCACUUAUUGGACCUCAAUUAUCCUUUACGGCUAAAAUUGCUCAUCCUUCCACUUAUUUAACCUCAGUUAUCCUUUACAGUUAAAAAUAUCCUUCCUUUGGGACAUUUUUAGCGCGUUUUACUCUUCCUCUACAAGCGAGACUCCAUCCGAAUCCGUCACUCCUCGGAUGAGACCUAUUGUUCUAUGAUCACUGCACCACUGAAUUAUAUUCACUUUCAAGUUCUCACUUCUAACCCAAAAGAACACAAUGUCAUCAAACCAAACCCUAACCAGGGGCAUUUAAGCCAAUUUAGGGGCAUAUUUUGUAUCCUUUUUCAUACUUUAUGUAUACCUCUUGUAUCGCUGGCCCCCUUUCUUUUAUCAAAAUCUAGCGUAACCAGAGAACAAUCGAAAAGAUUCUGGCAAUAUAUGAGAACGACCCACUCUUCAAAAGUCCCCUAAUCACCGAUAAAACCAGAAUUCAUCAAAAUCCUUUUUUCGUCAAAAAUUUACAUUAUAUUUAAAUAUAACUAAUAGAUAUUAACCUCCUUUAAUAAAAAUCUUGUCCUAUGUCCAAAAGUCCCCCUAGCCCCCUAUCAUUUUUGGUCAUAUUGGUCCAUGCCAACUUAUAACGGUUGUGUUUUUUUUUCUAAGAGAAUUUUUCCCUAUCUAAUGUAUUGUCACCAAGUUGAUGAACAAAAUCAAAUGAUGCCUUUUGCCUUUCGGUAAGCAUUAGAUAUAUACGAUGGAGGUUCACCUAAGUAUUUUUAUAAAUUUAUAGCUUGAAUUAUGACGAACUAUAAUAGAAGAAGAUAAAAGAUAAAUGAGAAAACGUUAAAUGAAUAAGAACACAUAUUUAUUAUUGAAGGAGAGAUACCAUUCACGUGAAAAGUUAAGAAAAUGUAAUUAAAAAAAGUAGUAGCUUUCCCAUUUGUGGACGAACUUCUCCCUCCGUCCCAUAUCAGUUGAUUGUUAUAUUAAAAAUAGUUGUUUCAUAUUAGUUGUCCACCUAACUAAACCAAGAAAGCGUUGAUUAAUUUUUUUUCUAUAUUACCCUUGCAAUCAACUCUUUUUGAAAGUGUUCACAUUUGUUUGUAAAAUUCUCAAGAAGUUUUUUAAGGGGUGAAUUAGUAAAAUUAUCUUUUAUUUAUAAUUUCUUAAGUCUCAUGCAAAAUGAAAAGUGAUCAAUUUUCUAUGUAAUUUAGGGUGGAGUUAUAGACGGAGGGUGGAUAAUUCGCCCAUUUGUGGGGGAAGAAGGAUCCAUUUUGAUCUGUGUUUUUAGGAAGGACCCCUUUUUAUAUAUAGUGCCCAAAAAGUGUCCAUUUUGAGGCCGGACUCACUAGAAAAGAACUUUACCUUGCCCACAAAACAAAUCUCACAAUAUAUUUACUUCUAUAGUUUGCUAUUCUCUUCAUCUCAAAUUAUCUGUCGUGUUUCUCUUUUAUAAGCCUCUUAAAAAACAUUAAUGAGGAGAAUUUUUUUUAAAAAAGAAACUAUAUUUAUCCUCAUUUAUGUCUUAAGAUAUAAUCUCUCUUUAUUAAAUAUAUACUCUAUAUAUCAAAAUAUUUGUAAUCUUCAAGAACUAUUACUACUAAGGAUUGAAUGAAAAAAAGAAUUACUUGUUUUGUCUUUAACUUUUAAAACAACAAAUCAUUUGUGAUAAUUAAAAAAUCACGACAAAUAAUUUGAGACUGAACGAGUAAUAUUAAGUCAACCAUGCAUGCAAAUGUCCUAUUUCCAAAAGUCCCCCUAACCCCCUACCAUUUUUGGUCAUAUUGGUUCAUGCCAACUUAUAACGGUUGUGUUUUUUUCCUAAGAGAAUUUUUCCCUAUCUAAUGUAUUGUCACCAAGUUGAUGAACAAAAUCAAAUGAUGCCUUUUGCCUUUCGGUAAGCAUUAGAUAUAUACGAUGGAGGUUCACCUAAGUAUUUUUAUAAAUUUAUAGCUUGAAUUAUGACGAACUAUAAUAGAAGAAGAUAAAAGAUAAAUGAGAAAACGUUAAAUGAAUAAGAACACAUAUUUAUUAUUGAAGGAGAGAUACCAUUCACGUGAAAAGUUAAGAAAAUGUAAUUAAAAAAAGUAGUAGCUUUCCCAUUUGUGGACGAACUUCUCCCUCCGUCCCAUAUCAGUUGAUUGUUAUAUUAAAAAUAGUUGUUUCAUAUUAGUUGUCCACCUUACUAAAUCAAGAAAGCGUUAAUUAAAAUUUUUCUAUAUUACCCUUGCAAUUAACUCUUUUUGAAAGUGUUCACAUUUGUUUGUAAAAUUCUCAAGAAGUUUUUUAAGGGGUGAAUUAGUAAAAUUAUUUUUUUAUUUAUAAUUUCUUAAGCCUCGUGCAAAAUGAAAACUGAUGAAUUUGCUAUGUAAUUUAGGGUGGAGUUAUAGACAGAGGGUGGAUAAUUCACCCAUUUGUGGGGGAAGAAGGAUCCAUUUUGAUCUGUGUUUUUAGGAAGGACCCCUUUUUAUAUAUAGUGCCCAAAAAGUGUCCAUUUUGAGGCCGGACUCACUAGAAAAGAACUUUACCUUGCCCACAAAACAAAUCACAAUAUCUACUUCUAUAGUUUGCUAUUCUCUUCAUCUCAAAUUAUCUGUCGUGUUUCUCUUUUAUACGUCUCUUAAAAAACAUUAAUGAGGAGAAUUUUUUUUAAAAAAAAACUAUAUUUAUCCUCAUUUAUGUUUUAAGAUAUAAUCUCUCCUUAUUAAAUAUAUACUCUAUAUAUCAAAAUAUUUGUAAUCUUCAAGAACUAUUACUACUAAGGAUUGAAUGAAAAAAAGAAUUACUCAUUUUGUCUUGAACUUCUAAAACAACAAAUUAUUUGAGAUAAUCAUUCUUAAAAAUUACGACAGAUAAUUUGAGACUGAACGAGUAAUAUUAAGUCAACCAUGCAUGCAAAUGUCCUAUUUCCAAAAGUCCCCCUUACCCCCUACCAUUUUUGGUCAUUGGGCCAUACCAACUUCUAACGGUUGUGUGUUUUCUCUAAGAGAAUUUUUCCCUAUCUAAUGUAUUGUCAACAAGUUGAUAUACAAAUUAAAUUAUGCCUUUAUGCUUUUUGGUAAGCAUUUUAUGAAAAUAUAAUAAAAAGUUAGAAAGAAUUAUUAAAACGAAUAUUAUCAUACAUCCAAGCACCUGUCCAUUCAAAAGUCAUUCAAAAAUAUUCUAAUUUUUUUUAAAAAAAAAGUUUAAAGUUAUAUAUACACACCAUCCGUUAAUAUACAAGAUUGUAUUGUGUUAUGUUGUUCGGACUACUCGAAAAUAUUAUAUAAUACAUUAUUUUGAAGGAUCUGAUAUGCAUUUAAAUAUAUUUUUGAAGAGUCUGAGCAAAAUAGUUUAGAUAAUACUUUUUGGAAUAUAGAUUUGUGAUCUUGAAAAUAAGAUAGGUUACGUAUUAUAACAAGUAAAGAUGAUGCGAUAAUAUAAUAAAAUAGAAUAAAUUCUUAUACUAUAGAAUCACUCAAGCAAAGCAAUUAACGGUCUCAAAUUCACAUAGUAUUGUGAUGAGUCAUUAACUGAUGACUGUUGUUAUACCAUUUCUUGUUAGUUGAGGUAUCUUAAAUUCAUAAAGGAGUACUACCAGAUGUGGUGCAACGGCUGGAGCUGCUAGGUCUCGAGUUCGAAUUUGGUUAUGAAAAAAUCUUUAGUAUGAAACGUUUUCCACUGAACAGAGUCUUACGUGACGCGAAUCUAAAAUAAUCAGACUUCAAUGUGGAUAUCGAACCUGGAAAAAAAAUCGAAAAGGAGCUAGCAAGCAUUUCUACAUAUUUUUUUUCUCUAUUUUAUUUUCUCAUAUAUAUAUAAAAUGAAAUGUAGUUGAGAUUCUUUGUUUGAGGAUUAGUGUAGCAUCUGGUUUUUUUUUUCUUUUAUUCAAUUUCAGAUCAUUUUGGUUUGAGUGGUACUAUUAUUCAAUUUUUUUGUCUUAUCAUUUUGUAGCAAUAUUGAUUCAUCAUUAAUUAAAGGUUAACCAAAAUACACCUACCGAUUUACUUUUACUUAUCCAUUUUUAACUUGAUAUUUUUCUUUAAAAACAAUAAUUAAUAUGAAUAUUUUAUCAUAAUAAGCUAAUAACCAUAUUAAUUGAUGUAAGUCUUAUAUCUUCGAAAAUAAUUCAGAAAAUACAUGUUAAAUGGAUUCUUAAAUAUAAAUACAAUAUUUAAGUCAAAACUAUUAUAUUUAUGGUUUUACAUGAUGAAUAAGGACUCUAAUAUAAUAUCGAACAUCGAGUAAAAAAAUAAUUAAAAAUUACUCCAUGUUAUGUUAGCACAAGUUAAAGAUGAAACAUAGAGAAUUGUGCCUCAUCUAAUUGUUUUAGUAUUUUAUUUUAUUUUGGUGAUCAGCAACUUUUACUGAAUUAUUCUUCCAGCGAUUUUAUGCGUUAAAAAAGUUAAUUAGAAUCAGUACUCUUCUUCUUUAGUGUUGUCAUUACAACUAAUAAAAGUCCAAUAUUAUUUUAAUUAAUAAAUCAUAACCAUAAUAUUCUUUUUAUUGGAAAUUUAAAUCUUGAUUGGGUUAUUAAAAAGGAAAAGGCAUAAAUUGUUGGCACUCACUUUGUUGUCAGGCAUAUAAGGUUAAAAAAAAUAGAUUAAUUAAAGUACCUUCUUAAUUGCCUGCGAGUAUAUAUGGUAUCACAUGAAGAAAAUCUUAUUGGGAACAUUCAGGUUCGAGCCUACGAGAAAUUUUAAAAUUUUUUAUUAGAAGUGUUAAUAUUGUAAUGUACAAUUAAUCAAAUUCUAACAUGAAUACUGAUAUCGAUCGAGAAAUAUAAAUAAAGAAAAAAAAGAAUACUAGUAUAUAUAUAUUUACAUUUUAUUCAUCAAAGGCCGACAUCAGGAUUUAGUGGCUGCAAAUUGAGUCCUAAAUCCUAAUUAAUUAAACAAUUUCACUAAUUAAUUUACUAUUUCAAAUAGUGGUUGAAUUUUAAAUAUUACUGCAAAUGUUUAUCUUUUUUCUCCUAUUGCUUGAUAUUUAUAUUUGUAUUCGAAUUACCACAAUAAAUUUAGCAAUAAUAUUUAUUAUCGUAAAAAUAUUUUGUAAUAACUUGAGCUAAUGUCAUUAUAUUCAAAGUCACUAAAGUUUUCAACGGUAUUUAUAUAAAGUAUUGGUUAUAAAUAUCUAUGUUUAUUAUUGCCGCUAAAUAUAAUAUGUAACAACAAUUAUAUUAUUAUCCGCUAAUUUCGUUAUUUGUUGUAGUCAUCCAUAAAUCUCAAAUUUGUUGUAAAAUUCUCUAGUAAAGACGAUUUUGUAUUCAAAACUUGGAAUCCUGAAGAAAUAUUUACCAUUCCACUACGACCGCAUUAUUAUAAUAUGGAAUACUAUAUUAAAGUUGAAUGACUAGCUAGUUAGCAGCUUUUUUCUUUCUUCAGAAAUACAAAAAUCCUUUUUUUCUUUUUGUUUCUCUUUCCCCAAUAAAAUUUGCAAUUGGGAUCAGAUUUUAGUGGGGGAGUAGUGUAGGGAGACAUUAUGGACAGGAUUUAAAAAGUGGUUAAUUUUUGCAACUUUUGAAUUGUCUAAGCACCAUAUUGCACAUUCUAUACAUAAAGUUAAGGUAAAAAAGAAUUAGUACACUUUAAUUACUUAAUGUCAAACCAAUUGAUACAUGUCAAGUGCCUUUUUUAUGCACUUUAUAUUACUUAGUUGUAAGUUUUAUAAAAGUAACAUGAAAAAAAGCAAGGAGGAAGUGAAGCUGUAUAUGAAGCUUUGCUUCUCUUCAUAUAGCCAUAAGAAUAACUUUACUAACGUGAUAUUCAUUUCGAUCUGUUGUAAAAGGUGGAUUUAGAUUUUAUCUCAAUAAUAAGUUCGUAUAUAUUAUUUAUUACUACUUUGUUAUGAAUUUUAUAUUUCGCAUUAAAAAUCAAGUUCUCAAAGAUCGUCAGCUUAAAAGACUAAAAGUUAGUAGUGAGACUUCUAUCUUUUAAUAUAAUAUAAUUACAAUGAAUUUAGGAUAUCUUUAGGAUAAACUGUCUUCUUUCACUAUGAAGUAUCACUUUUGAAAAAGAAAAAAAUUGAUCAACAAAAUAAUAAAAUGGGGUUUACUAUUUGAAUGGACUCUUAACUAAUUAUUUGUUCUUUUUUACAAACUAUAUUUUAUUGGCUAGCUGAAUUCUGAACAGUCGUUUACCUAGGAAAAAAUUCCCUCAAAUAAAUUAGAUGAAGAAUCGCUAAACUUGCAUUAGGAAAUUAUUGUUGACUAAUUUUGUUACGUCAAUUUAUUAACCAAGGUUCUUCAUCACAUGUUAAACACAAAUAUUAUAAGUUUUUCGUUAUACAUUUUUUUCACGUAAAAUUAAUUCAUCUCAACAAAAAAUAACUUUUGCACGGUUCCUUCUUUUCUUUUUUUCGAUAAUUUAAAGGCAACAAGUUUUUUCACCAAGGAAUUGGGGAUUAGAGCUAUGAGUUAUAACACAAGAUUGUAUCAUAGGUUCGAACCCCAUUCCCUUUUAUAUGGAAAUGAAACUAGCAGAAUUGAUACUAUUAUUUAUCAGUGUAAAACAAUGCGUAUUAUGUAUUUCAUUUUCUUAAUACAUAAAAAAGGCAUGAGAGCUUAAAAAGGGGAAACUAAAAAAAGGUAUCCCAGUGCACCGUGCACAAGCUCCCACUAUGCACGGAUUUUGGGAAAAGUCGAACCACAAGGAUCUAUUGAAAAUGCGUAUUAUGUAUUUCAUUUUCUUAAUACAUAAAAAAGGCAUGAGAGCUUAAAAAGGGGCAAUUAAAAAAAGGUAUCCCGGUGCACCGUGCACAAGCUCCCACUAUGCACGGGGUUCAGGGAAAGGCCGAACCACAAGGAUCUAUUGAAAAUGCGUAUUAUGUAUUUCAUUUUCUUAAUACAUAAAAAAGGCAUGAGAGCUUAAAAAGGGGCAAUUAAAAAAAGGUAUCCCGGUGCACCGUGCACAAGCUCCCACUAUGCACGGGGUUCAGGGAAAGGCCGAACCACAAGGAUCUAUUGAAAAUGCGUAUUAUGUAUUUCAUUUUCUUAAUACAUAAAAAAGGCAUGAGAGCUUAAAAAGGGGCAAUUAAAAAAAGGUAUCCCGGUGCACCGUGCACAAGCUCCCACUAUGCACGGGGUUCAGGGUAAGGCCGGACCACAAGGAUCUAUUGAAAAUGCAAUCAAUACAUAAAAAAUCAAUCUCCAACUUCUGACCAAGAGCUGGAGAUCAACUGGAGCUGGUAUAACUGAGAGGUUGAUGCUUCAGGACAGUAAACAGAAAACAAAUUUAUCA